GUGCUUGCUUCGGCAACACUUAUACUAAAACUAGAGUGAUACAGAGAAGAUUAGCAUGGCUCCGGUACUAGGAUUAAACUCAAAUUCGUGAAGCAUUCCAUAUUUCU